rnacentral:rRNA from 2 species
GAGCCGGAGGGAAACCGAGUCUUAAUUGGGCGUUAAGUUGCAGGGUAUAGACCCGAAACCCGGUGAUCUAGCCAUGGGCAGGUUGAAGGUUGGGUAACACUAACUGGAGGACCGAACCGACUAAUGUUGAAAAAUUAGCGGAUGACCUGUGGCUGGGGGUGAAAGGCCAAUCAAACCGGGAGAUAGCUGGUUCUCCCCGAAAGCUAUUUAGGUAGCGCCUCGUGAAUUCAUCUCCGGGGGUAGAGCACUGUUUCGGCUAGGGGGCCAUCCCGGCUUACCAACCCGAUGCAAACUGCGAAUACCGGAGAAUGUUAUCACGGGAGACACACGGCGGGUGCUAACGUCCGUCGUGAAGAGGGAAACAACCCAGACCGCCAGCUAAGGUCCCAAAGUCAUGGUUAAGUGGGAAACGAUGUGGGAAGGCCCAGACAGCCAGGAUGUUGGCUUAGAAGCAGCCAUCAUUUAAAGAAAGCGUAAUAGCUCACUGGUCGAGUCGGCCUGCGCGGAAGAUGUAACGGGGCUAAACCAUGCACCGAAGCUGCGGCAGCGACACUGUGUGUUGUUGGGUAGGGGAGCGUUCUGUAAGCCUGUGAAGGUGUGUCGUGAGGCAUGCUGGAGGUAUCAGAAGUGCGAAUGCUGACAUAAGUAACGAUAAAGCGGGUGAAAAGCCCGCUCGCCGGAAGACCAAGGGUUCCUGUCCAACGUUAAUCGGGGCAGGGUGAGUCGACCCCUAAGGCGAGGCCGAAAGGCGUAGUCGAUGGGAAACGGGUUAAUAUUCCCGUACUUGGUGUUACUGCGAAGGGGGGACGGAGAAGGCUAUGUUGGCCGGGCGACGGUUGUCCCGGUUUAAGCGUGUAGGUGUGUGUUCCAGGUAAAUCCGGUUCACUUUAACACUGAGGCGUGACGACGAGGCACUACGGUGCUGAAGCAACAAAUGCCCUGCUUCCAGGAAAAGCCUCUAAGCAUCAGGUAACAUCAAAUCGUACCCCAAACCGACACAGGUGGUCAGGUAGAGAAUACCAAGGCGCUUGAGAGAACUCGGGUGAAGGAACUAGGCAAAAUGGUGCCGUAACUUCGGGAGAAGGCACGCUGACACGUAGGUGAAGUGAUUUACUCAUGGAGCUGAAGUCAGUCGAAGAUACCAGCUGGCUGCAACUGUUUAUUAAAAACACAGCACUGUGCAAACACGAAAGUGGACGUAUACGGUGUGACGCCUGCCCGGUGCCGGAAGGUUAAUUGAUGGGGUCAGCGCAAGCGAAGCUCCUGAUCGAAGCCCCGGUAAACGGCGGCCGUAACUAUAACGGUCCUAAGGUAGCGAAAUUCCUUGUCGGGUAAGUUCCGACCUGCACGAAUGGCGUAAUGAUGGCCAGGCUGUCUCCACCCGAGACUCAGUGAAAUUGAACUCGCUGUGAAGAUGCAGUGUACCCGCGGCAAGACGGAAAGACCCCGUGAACCUUUACUAUAGCUUGACACUGAACAUUGAGCCUUGAUGUGUAGGAUAGGUGGGAGGCUUUGAAGUGUGGACGCCAGUCUGCAUGGAGCCGACCUUGAAAUACCACCCUUUAAUGUUUGAUGUUCUAACGUGGACCCGUUACCCGGGUUGCGGACAGUGUCUGGUGGGUAGUUUGACUGGGGCGGUCUCCUCCUAAAGAGUAACGGAGGAGCACGAAGGUUGGCUAAUCCUGGUCGGACAUCAGGAGGUUAGUGCAAUGGCAUAAGCCAGCUUGACUGCGAGCGUGACGGCGCGAGCAGGUGCGAAAGCAGGUCAUAGUGAUCCGGUGGUUCUGAAUGGAAGGGCCAUCGCUCAACGGAUAAAAGGUACUCCGGGGAUAACAGGCUGAUACCGCCCAAGAGUUCAUAUCGACGGCGGUGUUUGGCACCUCGAUGUCGGCUCAUCACAUCCUGGGGCUGAAGUAGGUCCCAAGGGUAUGGCUGUUCGCCAUUUAAAGUGGUACGCGAGCUGGGUUUAGAACGUCGUGAGACAGUUCGGUCCCUAUCUGCCGUGGGCGCUGGAGAACUGAGGGGGGCUGCUCCUAGUACGAGAGGACCGGAGUGGACGCAUCACUGGUGUUCGGGUUGUCAUGCCAAUGGCACUGCCCGGUAGCUAAAUGCGGAAGAGAUAAGUGCUGAAAGCAUCUAAGCACGAAACUUGCCCCGA